UAAGCAUAUCAAUAAGCGGAGGAAAAGACACCAACAGGGAUUGCCCCAGUAACGGCGAGUGAAGCGGCAACAGCUCAAAUUUGAAAUCUGGCCCUUGGGUCCGAGUUGUAAUUUGUAGAGGAUGCUUUUGGCGAGGUGCCUUCCGAGUUCCCUGGAACGGGACGCCAUAGAGGGUGAGAGCCCCGUCUGGUCGGACACCGAGCCUCUGUAAAGCUCCUUCGACGAGUCGAGUAGUUUGGGAAUGCUGCUCAAAAUGGGAGGUAUAUGUCUUCUAAAGCUAAAUAUUGGCCAGAGACCGAUAGCGCACAAGUAGAGUGAUCGAAAGAUGAAAAGCACUUUGAAAAGAGGGUUAAAAAGUACGUGAAAUUGUUGAAAGGGAAGCGCCUAUGACCAGACUUGGGCCCGGUGAAUCAUCCAGCGUUCUCGCUGGUGCACUUUGCCGGGCACAGGCCAGCAUCAGUUUGGCGCGGGGGAAAAAGGCUUUGGGAAUGUGGCUCCCUCGGGAGUGUUAUAGCCCAUUGUGUAAUACCCUGCGCCGGACUGAGGUACGCGCAUUGCAAGGAUGCUGGCGUAAUGGUCAUCAGCGACCCGUCUUGAAACACGGACCAAGGAGUCGUCUUCGUAUGCGAGUGUUCGGGUGUCAAACCCCUACGCGUAAUGAAAGUGAACGCAGGUGAGAGCUUCGGCGCAUCAUCGACCGAUCCUGAUGUUCUCGGAUGGAUUUGAGUAAGAGCAUACGGGGCCGGACCCGAAAGAAGGUGAACUAUGCCUGUAUAGGGUGAAGCCAGAGGAAACUCUGGUGGAGGCUCGCAGCGGUUCUGACGUGCGAAUCGAUCGUCAAAUAUGGGCAUGGGGGCGAAAGACUAAUCGAACCUUCUAGUAGCUGGUUUCCGCCGAAGUCUCC
rnacentral:rRNA from 1 species